ACAAAACCUUUUCAUUUUUUUUCCAAAAAAAAUAAAUUUUUUUAAAAUUUAAACAUUUGUUAUAUUAUAAUUAUUUUUAUAAAUUUUAAAUUUUUUAAUCAAAAUAUCAGUUUAAAUAAAAAUAUUUUAUUGUUUAUAUUUUAAAUCGGCCAAUUUGCAUAAAAAUCCACUAAUUUUGGGCUUUUGCAAAAGUGGGCUACCUUUUUCGUUUUUACAAAUUCGGUCCGAUUUUUCAGCAAACUGACCAAAAUACCCUUAUACCUUUUUCUCUCUACUCUUUUUUUUUCUCUCGUUCUUUUUUUCUUUCU
rnacentral:lncRNA from 1 species